UCUUGGUCAUUUAGAGGAAGUAAAAGUCGUAACAAGGUCUCCGUUGGUGAACCAGCGGAGGGAUCAUUACCGAGUUUACAACUCCCAAACCCCUGUGAACAUACCAAUUGUUGCCUCGGCGGAUCAGCCCGCUCCCGGUAAAACGGGACGGCCCGCCAGAGGACCCCCAAACUCUGUUUCUAUAUGUAACUUCUGAGUAAAACCAUAAAUAAAUCAAAACUUUCAACAACGGAUCUCUUGGUUCUGGCAUCGAUGAAGAACGCAGCAAAAUGCGAUAAGUAAUGUGAAUUGCAGAAUUCAGUGAAUCAUCGAAUCUUUGAACGCACAUUGCGCCCGCCAGUAUUCUGGCGGGCAUGCCUGUUCGAGCGUCAUUUCAACCCUCAAGCCCAGCUUGGUGUUGGGACUCGCGAGUCAAAUCGCGUUCCCCAAAUUGAUUGGCGGUCACGUCGAGCUUCCAUAGCGUAGUAGUAAAACCCUCGUUACUGGUAAUCGUCGCGGCCACGCCGUUAAACCCCAACUUCUGAAUGUUGACCUCGGAUCAGGGUAGGAAUACCCGCUGAACUUAAGCAUAUCAAUAAGCGGAGGAACCCACC
rnacentral:rRNA from 1 species